AGAUCGAGGGGCAAGGUCAGACCUUUCUUCAGAGGCGUGGUACGAGGCCGGCACCUGAAGAUGCUGGUGUUCCUGCUGCUUCUGGGGCCUGGCUCUGGGCUUGGCGCUCACGUCUCUCAACAUCCGAGCAGGGCUAUCCGUGAGAAGGGAGCCUCUGUGACGUUCCAGUGCCAUGCAGAGGACUUUCAGGCCAUGACUGUGUUUUGGUAUCGUCAGUUCCUGGAGCAGGGCCUCACACUGAUAGCAACUUCUAACCAGGGCUCCAAUGCCACAUACGAACAAGGUUUUACCAAGGACAAGUUUCCCAUCAACCAUCCAAACCUAACAUUUUCAUCUCUGAUGGUGACGAGCGUGCACCCUGCAGACAGCAGCCUCUACUUCUGCAGUGCUAGUGACACAGCGCUGGGCGGAGAUCAGAGACCCAAACAAGAAUCCGGCAACAGCCCCUCUCCCCGACCCCACCAAAUGCAGGGAGCCCUGUGGAAAGGGGGCGUGGGAGAGAAAAACCACAGCCUCUCUGACUGA